ACUGUGUUUUAGAGGAUGUUUAACUUCACUGGGAGAGUAAAGACUCAAUGUCUCAACGAAGGCUUAUGUCUCAAUGAAUGUGUGAGGCUGAAAAGGCAUCAAAGACAGAUCUGAAAGAGGUUUUCAGUUAAGAACAAAACAUCUGAUGAAGAGGAAAGGGAUCACCUGGUUGAUGCUUUUCAGCAGAGAUCCCAGUUCGACAUGAAGCCUUGUGCUCCCAGCUCCACACCUUACCUGCCCUUCUCAGUGCUCCUCUUUGAAACAGGACAUGCGCAGGAUCUGUGUUAGGAAGCUCCUUUUGGGGAUUCUCUAAGCACCAACAAUUCAAAAUGGAUUAUUUGUGUUCCCCUCCUUCGUUUGGAUUCCCCCAGCUUGGUGGCAACGUGAUGGUCUCAGGCGAGUCUGUGGAGCGCGGUGGGGGC